rnacentral:tRNA from 1 species
UCGGCCGUGGUGUAAUUGGCAACACGUCGGGUUUUGGUCCCGGUAUUCUAGGUUCGAGUCCUAGCGGCCGAG